UCACUCUCCUUCCAAUCGAAACAGGCGGUGGCCGCGGUGCUCUGCCAAAUCUCCAGAAAAUUAAAGGUCAGUCAUGAUGUAGGCCACUGAACAGCCGGUGUUCCAUCAAAGUAUGGCCGGGCGCCGUUCCAUCGACGGCCACCCAGAAUCGAGGAAGGCGCAAGCAUCGAUGCUCUGCUCCAUGGCCGCUUGUGGCGGGGACGAGUGGCGGAGAAUCCGGCUUCAUCAGCGAAGAUGACUUCCCCAGGAAUCGACCUUCGGGCUGACACAUCAUCUUAUUAGACUUUGGAAUACUUUGUUUUGUCAUCUUGAGGAGCUUGCUUUCCUGCAUCUUGCCAAACUGACACGCCUGAAAACUUAAUCAGGAUGUACCAACUUGUGGAAUUAUUUUCUAGGAUGAAGCAUAAUUGUGUAAAGAGGAUGUUUAUCGUCUAUAAGUUUCUAUAUCUCUCUGUAAGGCCCCUGUAUGGUUAUGCCAGUUUUACGAGCUAGCCAGCUAAGUGCUAGAUCUAUAUGGCGUAUUCUCAACUAGAUAUAUCAUGGCAAGCAGAUAUGAGUUAUUUUUUUAUCUGCUACUGUAUUAAACUGUGUAGUGUCCAUGUGUGGACAACUUUGCCCACUGAACAAUAAUUAGAAGAUCUGUUUAAACCUUUUCUGGACAUUUAUUUUAUUGGAAUCUUGAACUGGUAGAAAAUUGUUUCAGCUAAUGUCCUCUUCAUGUCUGAUAUUGAAUAGUUAUAAAGGAAUCAAGUCUCAUUUCUCUGCUAUGCUUAUUCAUACAAGUCUAUAAAAAUAUAUAGAUCCAUCGACACACCUCUAGAAAUUUAUUUCAGCUAAUGUCCUCUUCAUGCCUGCUAUUGAAUAGUUAUAAAGGAAUCAAGUCUCAUUUCUCCGCAUAUUUGGUCAGCUCUAAUAUUUUUCCAUGUAUUGGAGAUGGAUCUAUAAAAUAAAAAUAAAGUUAAUACUCAUACAUAUUAUGGUUUUCUUUAUAACUAACAGCUUUUAAACAGCUCUGACCUCUACUGUUUUUAUUUGAUGUAGAUUAUCAUCCUUCUACUAUGAUGUUACACUUUAUACUAAUUGAGCAUUGUUGCCUUUGAUUACAUUGCUCUGGUUUUCAUGCCCGACGUUAGAGCCAGGGGCUCUGUAGAAUUGGGAAGCAUGACAUUCCUAUGUAUGACAGAUCUUGGACAAAAUGGGAAGCGAGACUACACAAUGAAGAUCCGAAACUUAUUAAUAUUGGCUAUUAAAUCAACCACUCUGAAGUGAUGAAUAUAGUUAUUGGUAUUUAGAAUUUAGCAGUAUAUUCACCUCAGAUGGUUAGCACACAAUACUACUUCUCUGUGGCUAACUUUGGGGAACGGAUCCUCUAACAUCAUGAAGGGAUGUCAUGAAGGUACAGUGUAAUCCCAGUGCAAAACGGAGAAGGGAUGUCAUGGGCACUGUAGCAAAGAUAA